rnacentral:rRNA from 1 species
CGCCUGCAUGAAGUUGGAAUCGCUAGUAAUCGCGGAUCAGCAUGCCGCGGUGAAUACGUUCCCGGGCCUUGUACACACCGCCCGUCACACCAUGAGAGUCGGGAACACCCGAAGUCCGUAGCCUGACCGCAAGGGGGGCGCGGCCGAAGGUGGGUUCGAUAAUUGGGGUGAAGUCGUAACAAGGUAUC